CCUACGGGUGGCAGCAGUGAGGAAUAUUGGUCAAUGGACGAGAGUCUGAACCAGCCAAGUAGCGUGAAGGAUGACUGCCCUAUGGGUUGUAAACUUCUUUUAUAUGGGAAUAAAAUGUUCCACGUGUGGGAUUUUGUAUGUACCAUAUGAAUAAGGAUCGGCUAACUCCGUACCAGCAGCCGCGGUAAUACGGAGGAUCCGAGCGUUAUCCGGAUUUAUUGGGUUUAAAGGGAGCGUAGGUGGAUUGUUAAGUCAGUUGUGAAAGUUUGCGGCUCAACCGUAAAAUUGCAGUUGAAACUGGCAGUCUUGAGUACAGUAGAGGUGGGCGGAAUUCGUGGUGUAGCGGUGAAAUGCUUAGAUAUCACGAAGAACUCCGAUUGCGAAGGCAGUUCACUGGACUGCAACUGACACUGAGGCUCGAAAGUGUGGGUAUCAAACAGGAUUAGAUACCCGAGUAGUC
rnacentral:rRNA from 1 species